rnacentral:rRNA from 1 species
UACGUAGGGUGCAAGCGUUGUCCGGAAUUAUUGGGCGUAAAGAGCUCGUAGGCGGUCUGUCGCGUCUGCUGUGAAAACUCGGGGCUUAACCCCGGGCCUGCAGUGGGUACGGGCAGACUAGAGUGCGGUAGGGGAGACUGGAAUUCCUGGUGUAGCGGUGAAAUGCGCAGAUAUCAGGAGGAACACCGGUGGCGAAGGCGGGUCUCUGGGCCAUAACUGACGCUGAGGAGCGAAAGCAUGGGGAGCGAACAGG